AUGCUUAGUACAGCUUUUAAGUAUAUUUACUAAAAUGAAGUUCACUUAUUUUUCGAAAUUUUUAAUAUAUUGUAUCAUUUUUCAUGAGUAAGUUAUUGGUAAACAUAUUAACUAAUAUAGUGCCAGCAGUUGCGGUUAUACUAUAAAUAAAAUAUACUAUAUUUAUUUUUCUAUAAAAUUUUUUAUAAACCUAGGUUUUAAGUAAAAUUUUACUUUCUUUUAAAAAAAUUGUACCUGAAAAGAAAUUUUAAAUUUAAAAUAGGAUUAGAUACCCUCUUAUAUUUUUAUUUAUUAAGGUAGUAAAAUUAAACCUAUGUAGUUUGGCGGCAUUUAAUCAUUCUAGAGGAACCUGUCUUUUAAUCGACACCCCACGAUGAGUUUUACUUUUUUUAAAAUUUUAUAUACCUCCGUCAUAAGGGCUAAUAAUAAAUAUUUUACCCUAAAUAGAUAUCUAAAAAGUUAGGUAAAGGUGUAGACUAUAAAAGAGAUAAGAUGGGUUACAUUAAGAUUAACUUAAGGAAUUUUAAAUAAAUUAUUUAAGGAAAAAGGAUUUAUUAGUAAUUUAUUUAUAAUAGUAUUUUUAUAUGAAAUUGAUAAAAAAUGUGUACAUAUCGCCCGUCACCCUUACCUAAAGGUAAGGUAAGUCGUAACAUAGUUGGUGUUUUGGAAAAAGCAUCAGG
rnacentral:ncRNA from 1 species